CGGAGGGAGCUAGCGUUAUUCGGAAUUACUGGGCGUAAAGCGCACGUAGGCGGCUUUAUAAGUCAGAUGUGAAAUUCCCGGGCUUAACUUGGGAACUGCAUUUGAAACUGGGUAUCUAGAGUGUGGGAGAGGAAAGUGGAAUUCCUAGUGUAGCGGUGAAAUGCGUAGAGAUUAGGAAGAACACCAGUGGCGAAGGCGACUUUCUGGACCAUAACUGACGCUGAGGCAUGAAAGCGUGGGGAGCAAACAGGAUUAGAUACCCUGGUAGUCCACGCCGUGAACGAUGAAUACUAGGUGUGGGGGUUAUCAUGACCUCCGUGCCGCAGUUAACACAAUAAGUAUUCCGCCUGGGGAGUACGGUCGCAAGAUUA
rnacentral:rRNA from 1 species